AUACGUAGGGGACAAGCGUUAUCCGGAUUUACUGGGUGUAAAGGGAGCGCAGACGGCAGUGCAAGUCUGAAGUGGAAGCCCGGGGCUCAACCCCGGGACUGCUUUGGAAACUGUUCUGCUAGAGUACUGGAAGGGCAAGCGGAAUUCCUGGUGUAGCGGUGAAAUGCGUAGAUAUCAGGAGGAACACCGGUGGCGAAGGCGGCUUGCUGGACAGCAACUGACGUUGAGGCUCGAGAGCGUGGGGAGCAAACAGGAUUAGAUACCCUGGUAGUCCACGCUGUAAACGAUGAAUACUAGGUGUUGGAAGACUAAGUCUUUCAGUGCCGUCGCAAACGCAGUAAGUAUUCCACCUGGGGAGUACGUUCGCAAGAAUGAAACUCAAAUGAAUUGGCGGGG
rnacentral:rRNA from 1 species